UACGUAGGGGGCAAGCGUUGUCCGGAAUCAUUGGGCGUAAAGCGCACGUAGGCGGCUUUUUAAGUCAGGGGUGAAAUCCCGGGGCUCAACCCCGGAACUGCCCUUGAAACUGGAGAGCUAGAAUCUUGGAGAGGCGAGUGGAAUUCCGAGUGUAGAGGUGAAAUUCGUAGAUAUUCGGAAGAACACCAGUGGCGAAGGCGACUCGCUGGACAAGUAUUGACGCUGAGGUGACGAAAGCGUGGGGAGCAAACAGG
rnacentral:rRNA from 1 species